GAUGAAGAACGCAGCGAAAUGCGAUAAGUAGUGUGAAUUGCAGAAUUCAGUGAAUCAUCGAAUCUUUGAACGCACAUUGCGCCCCUUGGUAUUCCAUGGGGCAUGCCUGUUCGAGCGUCAUUUGUACCUUCAAGCUUUGCUUGGUGUUGGGUGUUUGUCUCGCCUUUGCGUGUAGACUCGCCUUAAAAUAAUUGGCAGCCGGCGUAUUGAUUUCGGAGCGCAGUACAUCUUGCGCUUUGCACUCAUAACGACAGCGUCCAAAAGUACAUUUUACACUCUUGACCUCGGAUCAGGUAGGGAUACCCGCUGAACUUAAGCAUAUCAAUAAGCGGAGGA
rnacentral:misc_RNA from 1 species